GGAGCCGUGCUGGGCCCACGGCGGGCGGCUGAGGGACCCCGCGGCUCUGGAAGAGGAACGGCCAGGCCCGAGGAGAGCGGCGGCGCUGCAAGUGCCGUCUUUCCGGCGUCCGCGCGUCGCGGGACUCGAGAGAGAGAGAGAGAGCACAAGCAGGGCAAGUGGCAGGCAGAGGGAGAAGCAGGCCUCCCGCGGAGCAGAGAGCCCGAUGUGGGGCUCGAUCCCAGGACUCUGUGAUCAUGACCUGAGCCGAAGGCAGAUGCUUAACGACUGAGCCACCCAGACGCCCCCAACAGAUGUAUCUUUUAGACAUUACAUGCAGUGAAAAUUCUAAGAACAGCAAGUUUUAAGUUAUAUUUACUUCAUUUGGGAUUUUUCUGCAUUAAUUUUUUAGUUUUUGAGCUACUGCAUUAAAGUACCUACCUUGAACCCUGCCUUCCUCACCCUCGGCCUGGCCCAGAUCAUCAGUGAUGGCGGCAUCCCCCCGUCUAUCACCAGACACUGGACUCCCUGCCUGCCGCUGAGUGUAAGAGGAGCUGGCCUGAUCCACAGGCAUUGUCAGACACCGGCAGACUGUCUACAUGGCUGUAACGAACCCUUCUGAAAAGAAGGGCGUAAAUGCCAACGUGCCAGGCUGGUGACUGCCACGUCCCACUGCUGGUGUCAGGGACGAGCGGUGCUGUGGCCCCCUCCCCGCACUGUGGGACCAGAGCACAUGCGCGGCUCUUCUCCGGGCCGUGCGUCAGGUCUGUGUGGAAGGCACCGUAAAAUCUGCACCCACAUUCUCGGGGAGUUGUUCUGAUGUUAGCAGCGGAUCCUAAUAAAUUUUCGUCAAAUCACAAAUGCCUCCAAGAGUGGUAUUUUUUUAAUGUGAACCAAACUCACUGAUUUUUAAGGUUAGGGGUCACCACAUCAACACUUUUAGUAAACACGGCAAUUCUUAAUUCCGAGAGUAACUGUGUAGAUGGCAGAAAGAGACCCCAAGUUAUUGUGUGACUGCAAUGGUCACAUCCCAAAACUAGAGCCCACUUAAGACCUCCUGUCCUUUGCUUCUGAGGAUGAGGGGAUCCCGCACCAUCACCUCCUGCCCUGUGCCCAUGUCCAGCUCACACUGCGCUUUCUCUUCAAGUAAAAACACACACGGUGCAGGGCGCCUGGGUGGCUUAGUCGUUAAGCGUCUGCCUUCGGCUCAGGUCAUGAUCCCAGGGUCCUGGGAUCGAGCUCCGCAUUGGGCUCCCUGCUCCACGGGGAGCCUGCUUCUCCCUCUCCCACUCCCCCUGCUUGUGUUCCCUCUCUCGCUGUGUCCCUCUGUCAAAUAAAUAAAAUCUUAAAAAAACAAAAAAAUCAAAACCCACACAUGGUGCUUCCAAAGUCAGCUUUGUUCAAGGGUGAGUUGGGCUUACAGCCACCGAGACCCCAGACCCACCCAACGCAGACACCCUACCUUCAUGACGGCCUCGGUAUGCUCCAGCAACCAGCCGACCAGGGCAUGGCCCGACUCAUGAAACGCAACCACCUUCUGUUCUUCCUUUGACAGGAUCUUGCUCUUUUUGGCAGUCCCUGGAAGGAUGCACAAGGAUUUGAGUUUGGGCACACAGGUGAUCCUAGCCUGGACCAGCUCUGGGUCUGGCUGUGUGCUUCGAGGGUCAUCCAUCUCCGUCUACUGCAACGCUGGUUCUGAGCAUCUGGACCGGAGGCCACAGGCUGCGGGAUGGGCUGUACGUGAACCCGAGUGCUCUAGCUCAGGCCAAAGCUGAGUCACCGACGCCGAAAAUGACUGUGGGAGAACAGCGAGCGGUCCACUCUGUCUCUGAUGAUCUCAUGUGAAUGGCACUGUACGACAUGGAGCCACGAUCCCGAGACCCAUCCAGACAGGUCAGUGUGAGAAGUUCAUUUCUUUCCCGGACAAGGAAACACCGAGUUUACAAGCUGCAUGCGCUGGUGGACAUGCGGGCUGCUUCCAGUCUUCAGCUCCCACAGGUCCCCGUCUAUCCGGCCACCUGAGGAAGGGCCCUGCACAGGUGGUUGGGCAAACUUGUCCACAGCCCCCAGGCAAUACCAACCUCCAAUGACCUCCACGAACUCCGGACCGGCCAUCGCCAAGAAUGGCACCUGGGCUUCUGUUGCCACCGCCUUGGCCAGAAGUGUCUUCCCACAGCCGGGGGGCCCGAGCAAGAGUGCACCUUUUGGGACUUUGGCGCCAAGCUGAAGGAAGCGCUCUGGGCUCUGGAAAAGCAACAGAUCAUAGCACAGUAGUCACAGGUGUUUGACAGAGAAUUUCCAAAAGAGGACUCACGUGGAGAUCCUGCACUGUCACGAAUCAGCUGUGGUUCAUGUGGUUUGGGAAAAGCAGAGAGCUCCGGCAGUGACCAGGUGUCCCAGAUGGCCCGGGGUAAGGCCAGCAGCGGGCUCUCGGCCCUACUACUGGCUCAGGGCUGUGCACUCAGCCUGCUGGUUUAGCAGAUACGGCACACGCCUGACUGGGGCAGUCCCUCCCUCAAGGAGGGCGCUCGCGUCUUACCUCCUGCUUGGCUCGCGCACCCACCUUCAGAUAAUCCACAAACUCUUUGACUUCCAGUUUGGCUUCGUGCAUUCCUGCUACAUCUUUGAAGCUGACUCCUUUCCCCAUCUUGCCAUCCACAAUUGUGAAACGGGCCAUUUUAAGCUGAUUCUGGGCAGAAAAAACAAAGGGCAGGGUGCUGUGACUCCUAGCACAACAGGGAAGGUUAGCACCCGCAGGUUGGGUCUGCAAGCGCAAGGGGGCUUCGUGUCCCAGGGGCCCCAGCUCCCCUCGGCCCGGCUCUCAUCUCCCACACCCUCUCCACAUAUUCAGACAGAUGGGACCCAAAGUCACCUUCCAGGCAGCCAAGGGGAAAUGUUUAUUGUGCAUCGCUAACAGUAAGAAAAUCAUCUAGCAUCUAGCAAUUUGCCUUUAAAAAAAAACAACAUAAACCACCCCCCACCCAAACGAGGUAAUUUAAUAUCUAUUGCACAAAAACUGUAUUUUUCCAUGUGAUUUUUCCUACUAGGGUGGAACUCUCUGAUUAUAAAGGUAAUGUAAUAACACUCAGCUCUAGGAAGGUUUGGUAGAAAUGUUAGCUGGUAAAUUUCUGGAGAGCAAUCAGGCAAGAUAAAGCUCUCGGUGAGGGGUGCAAAUGAGCUAAAUUCGGCCUCAGGAGGCACACCAGGCAGUCAGGCACUCCAAAGACACACGUGCAUUAGGUUUAUCACAGUACUAUAUAAAUACCGCAGGGAAAAUAAACAGCCCCUGAGAUGCCAGGGUGGCUCAGUUGGUUAAGCGUCUGCCUUCGGCUGAGGUCGUGAUCUCAGGGAGGGUCCCAGGAUCAAGUCCCACAUCAGGCUCCCCAUUCAGCGGGGAGUCUGCUUCUGCCUCUCCCUCAGCUCAUGCUCUCUCUCUCAAAAUAAAAUCUUAAAAAAAAAAAGUGACUAUAGGGGCUCCUGGUGGCUCAGUUGGUGAAGCGUCUGCCUUCGGCUCAGGUCAUGACCUCAGAGUCCUGGGAUCGAGCCCCGAAUAGGACUCCCUGCUCAGCGGGGAGCCUACAGCUCCCCCUCCUUGUGCUCGCUCUCUGUCAAAUAAUUAAAUAAAAUCUUAAAAAAAAUUUUUUUUUAAAUAAAUAAAUAAACAGCCCCAAAUAUGCAAGACUGGUGAAACUGGCUGAGUAAAACACAACAUAGCCCCACAAUGAGACACCGUUAAAAGGGUAUGAGUCUUUAGCUAAAGACAGGAACACGAUCCUGGUCUCAGUGGAAAUAUGUCUCGGUUCCCAGGGAGGUGACCAGAAGGUACCCUCUGCAGACCUGCUCCAAGCAGGCCCUGGGCCCCUCCCCAGCUCCUCUGCUGAUGGGCUAACUGGCCAUAUGCAACCUGCCAGGGAGGGAAAGUUCAUGUUACAAUGAAGGUCACCACAACAGGAGAAUUUUUUUUUUUUUUUUAAGUAAUCUUUACAUCCAACUCGGGGCCCAAACUCAAGACCCUGAAAUCAAGCACUACAUGUUCUUUUGACGGAGCCAGCCAGGCGCCCCAGGAGAAUGCUUUUAAAUUGUAUUAAGGUUUGGGGCACCUGGCUGCCUCAGUCGGUAGAGCAUGUGACGCUUCAUCUGGGGGUCUUGAGUUCAAGCCCUCCAUUGCGUGCAGAAAUUACUUAAAAAAAAAAAAUCUUUAAAAAAAUAAAAAUAAAAUAAAAACAUAAAGACAACCUUCAAAAAUUUCUCAGUGUCUUAGCUAGUAGGAGAAACAAAAAAGUAAGUCAUGCUCAGCUCCUGAAAACUGCAGAAUAAAUUGGCCUACACACCUGCUUGGCUCAGCUGCCCCACGAGUCAGGGAGAGAGUCGGGGGAUAGGGGCUAAGCAGAAAGAAAGAGGAGCCGCCCAGGCCAUGACUCCAGGCUGGCCUCUGUGACAGGUGAACAUUCACUGUGAUUUACGUGAAGCGUGUUCCGCGAGCACGAGCACAAACCCUAGACCACGGGUUCAAUGAGAUGGGAUGUUCAUAACUUACAAAAGCACUGAGUCCUCCUUCCCUUCCUGUCAUUCCAGCCAGACGGAACACGUACCACAGGAUGGCCAGGCCCACUGCGGUCAUCCCCAAGGCGUAGAGGGCACUAGCAGGAGAGAGGGGCAGUUACGGGCAGGCAGUAUGCACACGCCUCACGUCAGGGGCCAUGGACCCUCCACAGAUGACAAGAGCAACCCCCCACUCUGAGCCCAGUGUGCAGAGUGGAUGGUUGUGGAAAUGGGUUUCCUCGUCCACCUCUCGUCCUGUGACCUUCCCCAGGCUGUCCCAUGGAGCGUGUAAAGGCCCGAUACAGCGGCUCACCACAGUGCGAAGCCAGACCGCGGACACCGCGCACUGACCGGGUCAUCGAGAGCCUCUUGAUAAUGCCCGAAAGAACAGAUUUUCAUGUGUGAUAUAUUUUGUUUUCAAAAGUAGGCCAUCGGGCACCUGGGUGCUCAGUCGUUAGGCAUCUGCCUUCGGCUCAGGUCAUGAUCCCGGGGUCCUGGGGUGGAGCCCCGCAUAGGGCUCCCUGCUCAGCAAGGGAGCACAGCGGUACAGAGUAAACCCCAGGGCUCCAGCCGUACCUCCCGCCAUUGCCGACAGCCCCUCGGCCUUGGAGGCCCUGCACCCUCAAGAGAACGGCCACCUCUCAGGAGUGCCUGCCGUCACUGGCAUCCUGCGUCUUCUCAGUGUGGGCACGUGUCCACGAGUGAACCUCUCUACACACGUGUGUGCCGUGAAGCCCCCCACGACUCUGCGAGUUAAUGUGCUCCCGCUAAGGAGAUGCAGGUCCCACAGGGUCCCCAUUUCCACCUGCCACAAGGAAGCAAGAACUUCUACUGGACGUCCCUGCUUCUGCCCUUUCUGUUCCAUUUUCCCAUCUGUACAAGACGGCAGCCCCACAACGUACUGAACCAACAAGUAAGGAAAGUGAAAGACGCUCCAACAGGCCCACGAUGCCCGUCCCCACGCGUGGUCACCGGCUCGCACUCCUACUUACCCUCCCACACGGGGGCAGCUUUACUGGAGGCAAGGCCAAUGUGAGAUGUUGGUGGUUUGUUAUCACAUUACAAAGCCAAGCCUGGUUUAGUUCAGGAGCCAAAAAAUGACCAACAUACUUUCCAAAGAAUCCUGUCCGCUUAUAGGAAACCGGGAUCCUGUCCUUGCCUUCAAUAUUCAGGGCGUCUUCAGCAGCUCGGAGCUUCUCCUCAAACCUGUCGAUGUUUGCCACCUGCAUCCGGUACAUCAAGGCCAGCCGCUGGGGGCAGAGAGCAGACGCGGUGCAGGUGACACGCGGGCUGAGGACAGCCGCGAGACCCAGCACCCACACCCCACAGUGCUCCAGAAGCUGAACUUCACCUGCCAUUCAGAAACCACGUCCAGAUCCCGACUGCAACACACUUUCCAUACGUGUGCUUGCUCUGUUUUCACUAACAGGGACAUUUAAGAAAACAGAGGGUGUGCUUUAGGCUUCAAACUCACCACCCAGCCUCAGCUGUGCGUGCAGAGCACAGAGACGACAGACACGAGCUAUUUGCCGGGAGGCAGGCAACUCACUAAGGCAAGAACACAGGUCUGGUGCUUCACCACUGGCUGAAUGUGAAACUCAGCUAAGUGGAUUUCUCUAUUCUCAGUAAACCCCUCCCGGGUAGAGAAGAGGCUCAGGGAUUGUGCGCAGGUGGAAUGUCCUCCACGGGUACAGGCUUCCCUGAGAGGAGGCUCCAGAGCAAGCCGGAAGUCCACGCUGGGCCCCCAAAUCCCUGCUCUGUGAGCUGACCCGAGCCACCCACCAAGGGGCCAUCCUGAUCUCCACCAACCUGGACGGCAUCCUGCCAGUCCCACAUCAUUCUCCUAAGGGCCUGGUCCAAAUGCUUUCUAGAAUGAAGCUGUUCCAAGCACAGCUUCUCAACGCACUGUGGAAUCUACAUGGAGCGACCAGACUCUCCCCUGGCGCUGAGAGGCUCAGAAGAUUCUGCGUGGAAUGAGCGGCUGGCCAGGCUGCAUGUCACGGGGUCACAGGGCCAGAUGCGAGAGGCAGCUGGGGGCACCCACCAGCCAUGACACACUGAUCGUCAUCUGCGUUGGAAUGCCCAGGGGCCUCAGUUGCUGGAUUAACCUAACAGACCCCGGAUGUCUGAUCUGGACUUCAUCCACGCCUCUGUCACUCAAACACCUGCCCAGCCAGGUGAACAGACUGCAAACACGUGGCAAUGACCUUCUUUCUCUGCCGGAAGCCAAAAGCAAAAUGCGAUUCCAGACACCAAUUCAACUCCCACAUCUCUGACCGCCUGGGCUUCUGCAAGGUCACCCAGCUCACGCAAUACGCAGGACCAGGAGGAACCUAUCACCCCAACUAAAUUACAAGCUCUUGUAAACCAACAACCAGCUGUAAACAGUGCUUGGCACUCAGCCCAAUCCAGAACCUGGGCAGGGGCUGCGGUGCACCCCUGAUGCUAUCAUGAGGGGCCCAGUGCUAUGCCCAGGAGUCCACCUGUGCUCCCCAUGAGCAGAGUGUGUCCACACUGGACACCUGUCUCCCAGCAUUUUACCUGGUCCAGUGUCUCCACCACCCAAACCUCUAACAAAAAAUGGAAAGGAGACUAAAGAAACAUGACAACUAAGUAUAAUUCCUGGUCCUUGAUGGGACCCUGGAUUAAAAGUACUAAUAAGGGGCGCCUCGGUGGCUUAGUGGGUUAAUCGUCCGAUUCUUGAUCUCAGCUCAGGUCUUGAACUCAGGGUCGUGAGUUCAAGCCCUGCAUUGGACUCCAUGCUGGUGGAGCCUACUUAAAAAAAUAAUAAUAAAAUAAAGUAAAAUACUAAUAAAACAGCUCUUAACGUCAGUCCAGAGAUGACCAGGGAACAGGCUCAGGGGAAGUGCUUUGGAAAAUAUUCUCGCGUCGCUACCUCUCCUGGGCCUGCCGCUGCUGUGGUUACGGGGUGGGGAGGAUGGUGAUUCCUUCCACAGCAGGUAUUCAGAGUCAGCUUCUGGGACCCCCCCCAUCCUCCCACCCCCAAUGCCCAGCCCUCUCCCUGGGACCAAAUCCCACCCUCCGGACCCCUCCUCUGGUGAGCGCGCUGGGCUCCCUCCUGGGGGCACCUGAGGUGGGGAGGUGAGCAGGCCCUUGCCCGACCCCAACUCUCAGCCACCCUCACAGAGCGCACAGUUUCCUGCCCUGGGGCCCCCAGGAAUCCCGACUCACCAGCAGCUGCCCCAAGCUGCCCUGGGUGCUAACCUGCAGCCAGGACCAGACCCACAGGGCAGGACCUCAGAGUUGCCGCUGCAGGCCCCCCAGCUCCUGUCCCUGAUUCAAGCACAUUAAGCUCGGCUCAGGGCAGUGGGGACGAAGGAAAAGGGGCUCCGCCCUCACUCACAGGCCGCCCGAACACCACAGCUCCGGGGUGCAGGUAGACCUCCACCACGUCGCUCUCAGGCACCACCUGCACGCGCUGCACCUCGCCCUUGGCCAGCAUCUCGUGCACAAAGUCGUUCCAGGAAAUGCUGCCCCCGCUGGUGCUGAGCGCGUUCAGCAGGCUCAUGAUCACGGCGAUGACAAACAAGGUGCGCAGCCGCUCACGGUACAUCUGGUCCUCUCUCUCCUUGCGUCUCCUCUCCUCUGCAAGCAGGGUGACCAGGGGGAGCGACAGACACGGGAGAGAUACUCAUCACACGCCAGUCAAGGCCGCCAACACUGCACUCACCGAGGUCGCGUCUACUCAGAGCACAAAGCCAGUUUUACGGUCAGAAGCUUCCCUGCACCUGCCUGUGCUGCAUCUUGGCAGUAAGCCCUCCCCCAGAGGCACAUUUGACCCCUGACCUCGUACGGUCACCCAUGAUGCAUGUGGCACACGUGCAACUCACUGAUGACAAAGAAACACCUUUUAGCACCAUCUGCCCUCCCCUCCCCAACAGCUGCCUAUCCUGGACAUAUUUGGGGGGACCACUUAAUUCAAGAAUGUUCCCAGCAACCAACUCUUUAUCCAAACCAUCAGAUAAAUAAUCACAUUAUUAGAAUACAGACUGCACCGUGCCCAGUUCUUGGGGGACGAAAAGACACAAGACUCAGCCCCUGACCUUGGGGCGCAUGAACACCUGGGAGGUGACACGGGAGGCCAUUAGCACACAGCAUAAGGAACUGUGAGAAGCAGCUCCCAGCAAGGCCACCAUGGGGAGGCUCCGGGCGGGAAGGACGAGUAAGCACGCCAGGAGGACCGGGAGGACCGGGAGGACAGCAGGAGUCGCCUCCCUCAGGCCCACAGCACAGACGGGAGAGUCCUGCUUACAGCCGCCCAAGGCCAGGCCACAGUCUUCUCCCAAACCAGCCGGUCAGAUAAGCCCCUCCCCUGCUGGGGACGAAGGGCAGUCUCCACACCGCUGUGUCUCCUCGCUGGCCCACCCGCCAGUCCUUAGAAGCAUCUGGCACCUCCAUUUCCACACCAGAAGGCCUGGACUAUGAUGCGGCCCUCACCUGUGUGGUACGGCUCAUCCUCCCGACACUCCAUCCAGACUUUACCGGGCCCGUCAUUAAUGACACCUUUUGAGAAGUGCAUAUACCGUCCUUCUCCAGUCCUGCCCAAGAUGGCCCCGACUGAUCUGAGCAACCAAAGCUUCCACCAUUUACUUCUCCUGCACAGACACGGCAUCCACUCGGGGGGAGAGCAGGGAGGGCCCCGCACAGGCACGGGGCUCAGCCCAAGCUGCACGUGUACGUGUGGUCCUUUCUCCAGGGACAAGAGCGCAACUGGACCUCCGUGUCCACCCACUUCCCUCUGCUCUGCUUGUAGGCGGACCGUCCACAGACACACAACCCUCCUCUCUGGCCAUCCGUUUAGAGGAACUGAAAGGCAUUUUUUUUUUUAAGACUUUUAAUUUAUUUAUUUGACAGAGAGAGGGAGAGCGAGCAAGCACACAAGCAGGGGGAGUGGGAGGCGCCCCUGAAAGGCAUUUUAAAUCAGCUUAAAAACACAAAAUGAGGGCGCCUGGGUGGCUCACUCAUUGAGCGUCUGCCUUCGGCUCAGGUUCUGAUCCCGGGGUCCUGGGAUCGAGCCCCGCAUCGGGCUCCCCGCUCAGCGGGGUCUGCUUCUCUCUCUGCCUGCCCCUCCCCUCUCAUGCUCUCUCUCUCUCUCUAAUAAAUAAAAUCUUAAAAAAAAACACAAAAUGAAUCUUACAGAGAAGGCUGUGUCAGCAAUCAUUCUGAAAACAUGAAAGCACAUUUCAGAUGUUACCUUAUCUGAGAAUAGACAGUAAUAGCAAAUUUAAUAUUUAAAGCUCAUAGUCACAAGUGGCAACAAAAUAAAGGUACCCUUGUCUUGGAAAGCAAAUUUUUUUUUUUUUUAAGAUUUUAUUUAUUUAUUUGACGGAGAGAGAGAGAGAGCGAGAGCAGGAACACAAGCAGGAGGAGUGGGAGAGGGAGAAGCAGGCUCCCCGUGGAGCAGGGAGCCCGAUGUGGGACUCAAUCCCAGGACCCUGGGAUCAUGACCUGAGCCGAAGGCAGACGCUUAACGACUGAGCCACCCAGGCGCCCUUGGAAAGCAAAUUCAUGUUCUCAGGUGAGUAAUUAUUUAGAAACCAUGUAUUUCAUUUAAUUUUCUAUUUUGCCCCCAGUAUGUGUUCUCAUUAACAAUGGUGGUAGUCAUCACACUUGGCAAAUGGGACGCUCCACCAGCAGAAGCUCAUGUGACCGACUGGAGACCCUCAAAUGGCGCGUGCACCCCCAUGCUCUUGGCCGGUGGCUGUGGCACACAAGCCACUGGGAGGAUGUACAAAUUUGGGCCCAGGCCGCGUGGCGACAUGGCCUUUCCUCACUGCUCUGACCGCCACACAGCACACCUCUCCUGGAGAAGGGCUCGCAGCAACUCUGUAACUCAUGCGUGUCUGCUUGCAGAAUGUGAAGCAGGUCUACAAUUUUUAAAAGAUACGGCUUGGUUUCAUUUAUUUAUUUAUUUAUUUUAAAAAAGAUUUCAUUUCUUUAAGUCAGCUCUACACCCAACGUGGGGCUCGAACCCACAACCCUGAGAUCAAGAGUCAUAUAUUCCAGCGACGGAGUCAGCCGGGUGCCCCAGAUAUGGCUUGGUUUUAAAUAACAAAUAGCUUUGCAUAUUUUUGUAAGAAUUUCUGAACAAUAAAAAGACAGCUUUAAUUUAGGCUCCAAUAAACACCUUUCUUCACAAAUCCAACGCUUUUCAAGUAAAAACCAGCCAGGUGUCCUGUCACACGUGGAACUGCCCCCAUCGGCCUAUUUCAGGGAGAAGGAUCUGCCUGGCCAGGCCUGGAGGCCGCAGAUCCCACUAUGAGAGGAUCUCCUGGUGCAGGAACAGGGAGGCCCCAACCCAGAGCGGUUAUUGCUCUGAAGCUCCAGGACGUAUCGCGGAGGUCAGGUGAAAAUCGUUUGCACGUCUCAACAGAUCUCCUAUUCUGCUUCUGAGCCACAAUCACCCUGAGUCCUCCUCCCUCCCCGGGCACCAAGGGGACAGACACAGCACGCCCCACCGCGCAGGACCCAUCCAGCAAGGAGGGUGUGCGAGCACGCGCUCCGUCCAUUCGCACUAGCCCAGGCCCACGAGGUGCGGUUAGCUGGUGCCGCACAUGCUGUCCAGGGGUACCCAGGAGGAAGCCCUCCCGGAAGCGACCUGGCUGGGUGUCCCAAGAGCCACAGAAAACACUGUUGUUUCCUUAACUCGCUAGCUGUACUUCUGAAACUUAACCCAAGGACAUCAAAUGUAAAACACACAUUUCUGGGGGCGCCUGGUUGGCUCAGUCAGCGGAGCGUGCAAUUCUUGAUCCCAGGCUUGCAGCAGUUACUAAAAAUAAAAUCUUUUAUUUUUUUAUUUUUAUUUUUUAAGGAUUUUAUUUAUUUGACAGAGAGAGACACAGCGAAAGAGGGAACUCAAACAGGGGGAGUGGGAGAGGGAGAAGCACGCUUCCCGCUGAGCAGGGAGCCCGAUGCGGGGGCUCGAUCCCAGGACUCUGGGACCAUGAUCUGAGCUGAAGGCAGACGCUUAACACCCAGGCGCCCCCAGAAUAAAAUCUUUUGAAAACAAAGGAAAACCCCACAUAUCUGUAGUGUUGGUCAGGUAUGAAAUUACGAGGGCCGGUCUGAGAAAGACAAAAGGGGUAGGUGUGGGUGUGAGACAGAGGACUGGCUCCAUGAAAGUAAGAUGUGUGAGGUCUGAGACAUGAAAUAAAAUCUGACCCUGAGAGUCUAACUGGAAAA